rnacentral:rRNA from 1 species
CCUACGGGUGGCUGCAGUGAGGAACCUUCCACAAUGGACGAAAGUCUGAUGGAGCGACACCGCGUGAAGGAUGAAGGCCUAACGGUUGUAAACUUCUUUUCUGAAGGAGCAUAAUGAGAGUACUUCAGGAAUAAGGGACGGCUAAAUACGUGCCAGCAGCCGCGGUAAUACGUAUGUCUCGAGCGUUACCCGGAAUCACUGGGUGUAAAGGGUUCGUAGGCGGAUCUAUAAGUCAGAUAUGAAGGACCGGAGCUCAACUCCGUGUUUGUGUUUGAAACUGUAGAUCUAGAAUUAGGGAGAGGUAAGCGGAGUUCUAAGUGUAGGGGUGCAAUCCGUAGAUACUUAGAGGAACACCAAAAGCGAAGGCAGCUUACUGGAACUAUAUUGACGCUGAGGAACGAAAGCGUGGGGAGCGAAAAGGAUUAGAUACCCGUGUAGUC